UACGUAGGUGGCAAGCGUUGUCCGGAAUUAUUGGGCGUAAAGCGCGCGCAGGCGGCCUUUUAAGUCUGAUGUGAAAGCCCACGGCUCAACCGUGGAAGGUCAUUGGAAACUGAAAGGCUUGAGUACAGAAGAGGAAAGCGGAAUUCCACGUGUAGCGGUGAAAUGCGUAGAGAUGUGGAGGAACACCAGUGGCGAAGGCGGCUUUCUGGUCUGUAACUGACGCUGGGGCGCGAAAGCGUGGGGAGCAAACAGG
rnacentral:rRNA from 1 species